rnacentral:piRNA from 1 species
UNGAGCAUGUGUUUAAGAUAUGCAAAGCCC